GUAAGUGUUUAAGGGCGCAUGGUGGAUGCCUUGGCAUCGAGAGCCGAUGAAGGACGUGGGAGGCUGCGAUAUGCCUCGGGGAGCUGUCAACCGAGCAUUGAUCCGAGGAUUUCCGAGUGGGGAAACCCAGCACGAGUGAUGUCGUGUUACCCGUAUCUGAAUAUAUAGGGUGCGGGAGGUAACGCGGGGAAGUGAAACAUCUCAGUACCCGUAGGAGAAGAAAACAAUUGUGAUUCCGUCAGUAGUGGCGAGCGAACGCGGAACAGGCUAAACCGCAUGCAUGGACAACCGGGUAGGGGUUGUGUGUGCGGGGUUGUGGGAUUGAUAUGUCUCAGCUCUACCUGGCUGAGGGGUAGUCAGAAAGUGUCGUGGUUAGCGGAAGUGGCCUGGGACGGUCCGCCGUAGACGGUGAGAGCCCGGUACGCGAAAACCCGGCACCUGCCUUAUAUCAACUACCCGAGUAGCAGCGGGCCCGUGGAAUCUGCUGUGAAUCUGCCGGGACCACCCGGUAAGCCUAAAUACUUCUCGAUGACCGAUAGCGGAUUAGUACCGUGAGGGAAUGGUGAAAAGUACCCCGGGAGGGGAGUGAAAUAGUACCUGAAACCGUGUGCCUACAAUCCGUCAGAGCCUCUUCGUGGGGUGAUGGCGUGCCUUUUGAAGAAUGAGCCUGCGAGUCAGGGACACGUCGCGAGGUUAACCCGUGCGGGGUAGCCGCAGCGAAAGCGAGUCUGAAUAGGGCGCAUCCCCUUUGGGGUGUAGUGGCGUGUUCUGGACCCGAAGCGGAGUGAUCUACCCAUGGCCAGGGUGAAGCGCGGGUAAGACCGCGUGGAGGCCCGAACCCACUUAGGUUGAAGACUGAGGGGAUGAGCUGUGGGUAGGGGUGAAAGGCCAAUCAAACUCCGUGAUAGCUGGUUCUCCCCGAAAUGCAUUUAGGUGCAGCGUUGCGUGGUUCACCACGGAGGUAGAGCUACUGGAUGGCCGAUGGGCCCUACUAGGUUACUGACGUCAGCCAAACUCCGAAUGCCGUGGUGUAAAGCGUGGCAGUGAGACGGCGGGGGAUAAGCUCCGUACGUCGAAAGGGAAACAGCCCAGAUCGCUGGCUAAGGCCCCUAAGCGUGUGCUAAGUGGAAAAGGAUGUGUAGUCGCAGAGACAACCAGGAGGUUGGCUUAGAAGCAGCCACCCUUGAAAGAGUGCGUAAUAGCUCACUGGUCAAGUGAUUAUGCGCCGAUAAUGUAGCGGGGCUCAAGCACACCGCCGAAGCCGCGGCACAUUCACCUUUACGGCGGAUGUGGGUAGGGGAGCGUCCCCCAUUCAGCGAAGCCUCCGGGUGACCGGUGGUGGAGGGUGGGGGAGUGAGAAUGCAGGCAUGAGUAGCGAUAAGGCAAGUGAGAACCUUGCCCGCCGUAAGACCAAGGGUUCCUGGGCCAGGCCAGUCCGCCCAGGGUGAGUCGGGACCUAAGGCGAGGCCGACAGGCGUAGUCGAUGGACAACGGGUUGAUAUUCCCGUACCCGUGUAUGGGCGUCCCUGAUGAAUCAGCUGUACUAACCACCCAAAACCGGAUCGACUAUCCCCCUUCGGGGCGUGGCGAUUCGGGGCUGCGUGGGACCUUCGCUGGUAGUAGUCAAGCAAUGGGGUGACGCAGGAAGGCAGCCGUACCAGUCAGUGGUAAUACUGGGGCAAGCCCGUAGGGAGAGCGAUAGGCAAAUCCGUCGCUCACUAAUCCUGAGAGGUGAUGCAUAGCCGGUUGAGGCGAAUUCGGUGAUCCUCUGCUGCCAAGAAAAGCCUCUAGCGAGCACAUACACGGCCCGUACCCCAAACCAACACAGGUGGUCAGGUAGAGAAUACCAAGGCGUACGAGAUAACUAUGGUUAAGGAACUCGGCAAAAUGCCCCCGUAACUUCGGGAGAAGGGGGGCCGGAAUACCGUGAACACCCUUGCGGUGGGAGCGGGAUUCGGCCGCAGAAGCCAGUGGGUAGCGACUGUUUACUAAAAACACAGGUCCGUGCGAAGUCGCAAGACGAUGUAUACGGACUGACGCCUGCCCGGUGCUGGAAGGUUAAGAGGACCCGUUAACCCGUGAGGGUGAAGCGGAGAAUUUAAGCCCCAGUAAACGGCGGUGGUAACUAUAACCAUCCUAAGGUAGCGAAAUUCCUUGUCGGGUAAGUUCCGACCUGCACGAAUGGCGUAACGACUGCCCAACUGUCUCAACCAUAGACUCGGCGAAAUUGCACUACGAGUAAAGAUGCUCGUUACGCGCGGCAGGACGAAAAGACCCCGGGACCUUCACUACAACUUGGUAUUGGUGUUCGGUACGGUUUGUGUAGGAUAGGUGGGAGACUGUGAAGCACAGACGCCAGUUUGUGUGGAGUCGUUGUUGAAAUACCACUCUGAUCGUAUUGGACACCUAACGUCGAACCCUUAUCGGGUUCACGGACAUUGCCUGGCGGGUAGUUUAACUGGGGCGGUUGCCUCCUAAAAUGUAACGGAGGCGCCCAAAGGUUCCCUCAACCUGGACGGCAAUCAGGUGGCGAGUGUAAGUGCACAAGGGAGCUUGACUGCGAGACUUACAAGUCAAGCAGGGACGAAAGUCGGGACUAGUGAUCCGGCACCCCCGAGUGGAAGGGGUGUCGCUCAACGGAUAAAAGGUACCCCGGGGAUAACAGGCUGAUCUUCCCCAAGAGUCCAUAUCGACGGGAUGGUUUGGCACCUCGAUGUCGGCUCGUCGCAUCCUGGGGCUGGAGCAGGUCCCAAGGGUUGGGCUGUUCGCCCAUUAAAGCGGCACGCGAGCUGGGUUUAGAACGUCGUGAGACAGUUCGGUCUCUAUCCGCCGCGCGCGUCAGAAACUUGAGGAAACCUGUCCCUAGUACGAGAGGACCGGGACGGACGAACCUCUGGUAUACCAGUUGUUCCACCAGGGGCACGGCUGGAUAGCCACGUUCGGACAGGAUAACCGCUGAAAGCAUCUAAGCGGGAAACCUUCUCCAAGAUCAGGUUUCUCACCCUUUUAGAGGGAUAAGGCCCCCCGCAGACCACGGGAUUGAUAGGCCAGACCUGGAAGCUCAGUAAUGAGUGCAGGGAACUGGCACUAACCGGCCGAAAACUUACCAAC
rnacentral:rRNA from 1 species